AAAGCAUUGAUCUGCACAGAGCUGCUCUCACACUGCAACUGCAUCCAGUUUGCUUCUAGGAUUUUCUUCUACCUUGAAAAACUGCACAUAGUGAAGAGUUUCUUUGCCUUAUUCCUGCAGUCUUAACAUGUCCUACUGAGUAAAGCAUCUGGAAACAUAAGGAGCUUAUGAAGUCCUUGCAGCAGAGUUGAAGGAGCCUCAGAUGUGAUUGGAGGUCAUUGGGAAACACUGUGGGUCUUCUCUGUCUGGCCUUGAAGGAACAAGCUCUGAAGUCUUGAUCCAAAACAGACAAGGCUUUAAUAUGAAAGCAUUUUUCUUUGAAGAAGUUCACCCUGAAGCCUUGGCCCAAUGAUCUCAGAAGAUGAGAGAGAAUGGCAAACCAAAAAGUUCACCCAAAACAUCUCACUUUUCAACUGGAUUUUGUGAAUUUUUUUUUUUUUUUUUUGAGAUGGAGUCUUGCUCUCUUGCCCAUGCUGGAGUACAAUGGUGUGAUCUCGGCUCACUGCAACCUCAGCCGCCCAGGUUCAAGCAAUUCUCCUGCCUCAGCCUCCCGAGUAGCUGGGAUUACAGACACCCGCCACCACGCUCAGUUAAUUUUUACAUGUUUAGUAGAGACAAGCUUUCGCCAUGUUGGCCGGGAUGGUCUCAAACUCUUGACUGCAGGUGAUCCAUCGGCCUUGGCCUCCCAAAGUGCUGGAAUUACAGCUGUGAGCCACCAUGCCGAGCCCAUUUUGUGAAUUUUCAUUACAAAAUUUUUUCACAUUAUACUCCUCUGUCCUCAGAAUCUGUGAACACUCCUCACCACCUGUCUGUCCACCACACCCACAAACUGUUUGGUUCUAUUAUGACUUGCUUACUCAUUUUCAUUCUCUAAACUUCAAAAUUUCAAACCAUCAUUUACUUUCAGGGGUCGAAGGAAUUGUCUAAACUCCUUCUGCUCUCCAUGAUAAAAUAAAUAACCUAUUAUUUUUUUCUUCCUCUCUGAAUUUUUUUCAGCACUCUUAUUUUAAAAUCAAAUAUAUAGCAUAAUUAUUUGAUUAACAUACAUCCCUCUCAUUAUAGUGGAAGCUCCAUAGGGCCAAGAACUAUGAUUGUUUUGAUUGAUCUCUUUAUAGAAUGUAUGGCAAGUAAUAAGUGCUAAUAUUAGUUGGAUAAAUAAGUGAAAGUAUUAUACUAAUUCAUGAGCCACAGAUUGGCAGUGACAUAAAAGGGAAUGUUUUUUGGCUAGCUAUAUCAUCAGUAGAGUAAACACAAAUAUUUUCAUCUGACCGUAAGGCAACCGAUAUCACACAUAUG
rnacentral:lncRNA from 1 species